AAAGGAGUAAAGGAUGAUGUCCAGGUUUUGAGCCUUGGCAACCCCAUGGUCAGUGAUGACAUUGACUGAAUUGGUAAAGACUUAAUGAGGAAUAGUCAUGGAAAGGGCUCUGAGGAUGGCAGGAACCAAUAAUUUUAUUUUGCACAUGUUAAAUUUGAGAUGACCGGUAGAGUAGACAUCUACAUUCUGAUGUCAAGUAGGCAUUUAAACAUGUGUGUCCAGAGUCCAAGGGAGAAGACUGAGCUAGAGAUGAAUUCUGGGAAUCAUUCAUGUAUAGAUAGCCAGGAGACUGGAUGAGAUCUAGGGAAUAAAUGCUGAGAAAUGUCAAAGAGACCCUUGGACUAAACCUUGGAGCAAUUCAAUAUUUAGAAGGUGGAUAGUGGAGGAGGAUUCAAUGAAAUAGACUGAGAAGCAGCAUCCAGGGAGGUAGAAAAAUAAUUGGAAGAAUGUGGCAACAAGGAGUCAAGUGACACAAGUGUUUCAAGUGGAGGGCAUGAUCAAUUGUGUCAAAUGUUGCUCUGGGGCUGAUAAAGAAGAGAAUAGAGAAUUGACCAUUUGAUUAGGGUUAUUACCCACUCCCCUCCAGCAUCUGUGAUGAUGGUAGCAGGGUUUUGCUCAAGGGACAAAAGGCAGCAGAUCUGGAAAACCAAAGGAUAAAACAUAUCCUUCAUGCAACUAGACAAUAGACACCUUCUUGAUCUAGAAAAGGAAGAAAUUCCCACCCCCAUCCCAUCCCCCACCAAACCCCAUCCCAGUGGAGGGUAAGUUUCUGAAAUUAGAAAAACCUACAAUGCCUUGUCCUGUAAUUCUGGGCCAGAAGUUCUCAGUUGGACAGGUUAUGACAUUUUGAGUAGGAGAAUUCUGUAAAACUGGCCUUGCCAAUGCAUUACAAGACUUUUGGUAUCCUUGACCAUUGCGUCCCCCAACACUAAAUGCCAAAAUAGUUACACUUACUUUUUAAUGCUCUCCUCUCUACAUGUCCAUUUUUCAUUGUUACCAACUGUAUUUCCAUUUCCUCAGUCUCACUAUUACCUUCCUUCAUACCUUCUUUGAAUGUUUUCUUUUUCAGACAUUUAAUAAUUCAAAUGAAUAAGAAUUAGUGACAUUAUUAUUGGGAUCAAUAAUUGAUGAACUGUAACAAUAGUAGGGAGAUAAUUUGAGGUAAAAUAAACCCUUCAUCUUGUCAAAUAAUAUAAUUCAUUGAACUAUACAUUAAAAAAAUAUUAUCUGCAAGGCUUUGUUCCAAGAGCAGCACAGAGUGCAAAGUGGGAAAUUUUGGUGACUUGAAUUUCAGUGGAAAUGCUGAGCAACUCCUGUUUCUCCCUCCUCUUCCUCCGAAUAAUCUUUAAAAUGUUCUUUUUAGUCUAGCUUUUCUAUCUUUCGCCUUGCUUCCCCAUGUGAUUGCUCAAGAUGAGAGUGAGAAUCUCUCUUAAAAGUCAUCUUAGACAGUCAUCUCUAGUUCUGAGUGACCAGCACUGCUACAAGCUAAUUUAUCCCCAAUUUUACAGUUUGUAUUUGUUAAAAACUUGAGUUUCUGUCAUUCUGUUUGGAUCCUGGGUCCAGUCCUGGCCCUACCCCAUAUUGGUUGUGUCACUUUGUGCCAGGCACUUAGCUUUCUAUGCUUCAGUUUUCCUCAUCUGUAAAAUGGGAAUUCAAUAGUAGUACUAAUCUCAUAGGGUUUUUAUGAGGAUUAAAUAAUAUUCUGUUUAUAAUGACAGUGUCCCAGUGGGGAGCACUAUAAAAUGAGGUUUGCGAAAUAUCACUUUGCACACCAAGAAAAAGUCAUAUUUAUUUCCUCUAAUGAGGACAAGUAUCUCACACUAUUUAGCUUCUUUUGAUUUGGGUGACUUGCAAUCCCAAUCCUCAUUUCCAGAAACUGAAGCAAUGUGUUUCUCUUUUAUGUCAUAAUUUAUUUUUUCACUCUGGUAAAAAAUCAGAGAAAGAAAAUGAUUGAAUUUUGAGUAAAGGUUUUGCACUUUCAGGGCAAACUAGUGCUUAAUAAGAUAAAGUCAUUGAUUCAUAAUGGGGAAAAUAUUAUAUAUUCUGGGUUAGAUUGGUGUAGAUAAAAGUAGAAGUUGAAACCCCUUUGAAAAGGACUACCACUGUAAGCAGUGACCCCAGUGCACAGAAACAAAGAGAGCCCAAAUUAUUUUCUAACCACUUCUCAUUUCAAGGCUCCAGUUAUUUCAAAGAAAAAGUCUAUGAGCAGAGAUGCCGAAACUGAAGAAUGCUGGAGGAGGCUGAUUCUGCAGAGGUUGUUAAAAUGUAGAUUCUAAUGCCCCUUCUCUAAACAUUUUUCUGUGAUUGAGUUGGAGUUCAGAAACUUGCUCUUUUAAAAAGCAUCUAGGCAAUUCUGAUGCAGGUUAUCUCUGAGGUAGAUAUUAGCACACUCUGUAUCCAGACUGCUGGACUCUGUUUCUGAAUAUAUGUGAUGUACAAGUGUUAACAUAAUAGUGAUUUUUUUUCUCUCAUGUUUGUUAUUGUCCAAUGAUCUGGCUAUGCCAUACCACAAAUAUGAAUAACAGUGGGAAAAUGCAGUUAAUUUACAAAAUACAUUCAAAUACACUUAUGUUUGGUAUUAUAUACACAAAAUAUCUGUAUGGAUGAUAGAAUCUUUUUGUUUUCUUUACCAGUAUGUUUUGUGUUUGUUUUAGCAGCCAUUUAAGUGUUUUCUUACUGUCAUUGUGACAAUUAACUUCAUGUGUCAACUUGACUAGGCUGCAGGAUGUGCAGGAGUUUGGUUAAAUGUUAUUCUGGGCAUGUCUGUGAGGGUGAUUCUGGAUGAGAUUCGCAUUUGAAUUAGUACACUGGGUAAAGCCAAUUGUUCUCAAUGUGGAUGGGCCUUAUCCAACCCAGUGGAGGUAUUCAUCUUCCAGAAGACAUAUUAUGGGAGCUCUCAGUCUCCAGGAUCAUGCACAAAACAGAUGGGGCUUCUGGAUGGGACAAGCUCCAUAGUGGAAAGAGUGCCUGAAGCUUUGUGGCGUUCUCUGCAGGCAAGAUUGCAAGAUGGAAGUAAGAACCAAACCUCCUGAUUCCACAGUACAGAAGUUUCUCCACUGAAGGAUCCUUCUAUAAUUAAAAGCAUCUGGUGCAGGCAUGAAGGAGCUUCUCAAAGCUGCUUUAUUUUAUCACCUAUCUUUAAAUUUCAUACAUAAAAUGGUAGUAUGCAAAAGCCAGAUGACAUGAUUCUACAUCACACGGUUUCAUUUUGUUUUUGCUGCCCCAUUAUUUGAACACUCUACUGGAUUGCUAGAGAAACAUAACCUCAUCAAAAUAAUUUGCAGCAAACUUUAAUUUUAAUAUAUCUGUUUCAAUGCAAUAUUUCAUUCUUGCUAUAGAUAUUAAACAUUCUUUAUAAUACACUGUAACAUGUCACAGACAUCACUGAUGUUUGCUCAAGAAUGGCAAGAACACUGUGUCUGGUACAGUAUUAAGAUAAACUCAAUGUAUUUCAUCUUCCCCGUGGAUGGUAGAUAUCUUAAUUGAAAUGACCUGAUAAUGUUAAAGUGACAAGAAAAAAUACACAGUGGGAAAUGCAAAUACAAUAAAAGGUACACAGAGACGUUGCUCCCAAUUUAACACACUUGAGAAAAAACUAAUUUUUGACAGCACCUGUUAUAAACAAAGCUACAGGCACAAAAAUAUAAAAAUUUGGUCCAUUGUUCUUAAAAACAUUGCCUGUCAUUCUCCCUUAUUGCAACACAGAUUAAUUUCCUAUAAUUUUGCAAGUAGUCAGAGAAUUCAAGGUGACUAUGUCACCCCAUAUGAAUAAGGGCAAAGAUUCUCUUCUUUAGAGAGAUUAUAUAAAGAAAACAAUCUAACAUUCUUCACUUACAUGGAAGUACUUUGUGGAGGAACAAUUAACUUGCUAAGUGGGUGUCUGCUUUGACUGAAAGAUCAGGGCUAUUUGAAGCAAUAGCCCUGUAAUUUGUUACAUAAGCAGGUAUUUAGGAUAAGUCUUUUCAAAUGCAUAUUGCUGUGUCAAUGCAUUGUUAAAAAUACCAAUAAUAACAUACACACCCCCAAAAUAACACUUUCUCAGAACUGGAGCUGGCAGUUGCCUGGACCUCAUUGGAGCUGUUUGCAAGAAAAUACUGAGAGAGGUUCUGAAGGAAUGGAAUGGCACUCAGGGACAGGGCUACUCAAUUGGAAAAAUAAAGAGAUCUCCCUAGUUUUAAAGGGCAAUGACUCCUACCACUCUCUCCAACAGCAAUUUGAACAUGACCUCACAGCUAUUGCUCAUCCAGAACAGACAAUAAGUAUGAACCUGAGGGAGACAUUAGAAAGGUCUUCUGUAUCACCCUAAGGAAUUUGGCAUAGUGACCAUUGAAAAUCUUUAAAACUAUCUGAUGAGAUAUGUGUGUUAGAAGUUCUUUCUGGUAGCAAGCUUCUUUUGAAAGAAACCUCCUGGGCUGGAAAGUGUUCAUGGCUUCUUGUUCUGAGUGGGAAUUAGUCCCUGACUCCCUGGGCUAGAAGUCUUUCUUCCUGGCUGGCUGUGAGGUUUCUUUGUUCACUAUAUUUGAUACUGGCUUCCUCAUGGGAACUUCUUAGUCAACUGAAGCCUUUCAUCUCAAACCCUUACUAACGAUAUGUUUUGCCAGCUUUGUCCAUCUCCUUUUUGUUAACAUGAUUUUGCAGCAGACAAUUUGGAAUUUCAGUGGUCUCUUUGGGGAACUUAGGAUCUCUUGAGAGUCAUUCUUCUAUGUCCUUUCCCUUCCCAUCAACUUCUCUCCUCACCCUUCCUCUUACCACCUUCUUCUAUAUGUCCCCUUCAAACCCAUCUCUGCCUCUAUUCCUUUGCCAAUUCCUGCCAGACCUUUCCCUUCACACUUUGGUUCCUUAGCUCCCUACAUUCACUGGGGCUUUAGGUCCCCUAUGCUCCACUGGAAGCUCUCAAGGGAUUCAGGGUCUCUCAAAAACAACCACUUGAGACUGAAAGAGAAAACCAUCUAAUUGGAAAUAGAUUGGAUCUUUCAUCCACUCAGAUGGGCUUUGGAGACACCUAGACAGCUGCUAGAUGUACCCUCAGCCUAAAAGAUAGUCCAUAGCCUCCACAAGAUUACAUAUUGGGGCAGACGAAAAUAUUAAAAAUCUUCUUGAUGAUUAUUCGUAAAAAGUUUUUGCUCUUAUUGAGUACAUAACCUCAAUUUGUCCCAUUUUUUUUUUUGGUAAGAAAUACAAUUCAGAUAAAAAAGUAAAGUGGAGAAAAGAUGAGAGCCAACUAUUUUAUAUGAACCGGUAAGUUAUAUAUUACUGUGUUCUACUGAGUCAUGGCUAAAAUUUUUGAAUGAAAGCGAUAAGAUUUUUGUUUACAUCUGUCUAUAUGUUUAUGUAUGUUUAUACAUGUGUAUGUAUAUAUGAUAUGUAUAUGUAAUAUUUUUCUUCUACAUCCAGAUAACACUACCAAAUUAAUUAAUGGAAUCCCUUUAAAAAGUUCUAUUCAAAUUGGCUAAGAGAUAAAUAAGUGCUUAUUAUAAAUAAAAUCUUCCUUAAACUCCCAGGAACAUAAAAACUAACCCAAAUGUUUUUUUCCAGUUCAUGUGACUUUGGUAAAACAUUGAUAAAUAAGAUUAACUUAGUAUUAUUGGUUUAAUGAAAACACUACAUCUUUUAAAUUGUCAGUAUUACUAUAACAUAAACAAAUUUUAAUUCUGUUUGGGUUUACUAGGCAAAUAAGGUUAAAAAUAGGUAACAGGAAAAUAGCUUGAGAUGAUGGGUAGCUUUGUGUAAAGUUAUAAUAUGUCUACCUUAAAAUUGUUUCCAAAAUCUCUUGUUAACUUGCAACUUUAGAGUUAUGCUAAGUAACAGAUAUUUAUUAUAAAUCUAGAUCAUUUCUAACAUAAACU
rnacentral:lncRNA from 1 species